CUGGAGUUAUAAAGCUUUAAAUAGGGUACCCCCUAAAUGGGCAAGGAUUGGCAAGAUUUGACUUGUGCCUUAAGAGGUUAAUUAAUGAGAAGCUUGGAAUGAUCCACAGUGCAGUUAAGUUUAACAUUCAGGAUUUAAAUUUAGGGACAAUCCAGGUGAGGUUUUGUUUAACCCUCUGGGGUCGAGAGCUCCGCCGGCGGAGCUCGACAAGAUUUCGUUGCUAUUUGGAUGAAUAACUUUGCAAGCUUUUAUCAUACAGACACAACAAAGACAUUGACAUAAACCUUAGAAUCGUGGCAUUCCGAUGUGUCAAUUGACAAAAUAAUAUGAAUUGUUUUAAGCUAUUUAAAAUUAGAUCAAACAGACCAUUGCCAUGUGUUAAGUCUUUCUCAUUAAUAUGUGAUUUUCGCUCGGCAGUAAGUACGCCCAGACCACAUUCACAAGAUAAUGACAUGCUAAUUGCUAUCGAUGGCAGGGGAGGGGCGAUGCGUUCGAUGUGCGAGAGCGCCUACUGUAAACAAGGAUAAAAUGUCAUACAGAAGCAUAGCCCACGUCUUCUCGGGCAAUCCUUACAUUUCAUUUCGGAAAAUGGCACGAAUGACUGGACUGGAGGUUCUUCAUGCUUUGUGGGAGAGCGACCAUGAAGACGCGAACAACUCAUCAGGUCCGGACACUGAAGCUGACACUGAUGAAGAACGAUGUCAUUUCGAACUGCGAACUGAUCCAGCUGAGGAUCAACUUCAUGAAGAUGCUGAUCAGGUAACAUUAUGGUCAUGUGCCUGUGCCUACAGCCUCACAGACUCUGGAUGCCAGCAAGGUGGCUUCGAUUGGUCGCAAGACAUGCAUACUCUGCAGGACGGACUUCGGGAAAAAACAGAACACUCCGUGGAAGUGCAAGGAAUGUGAUGUCCCCCUGUGCUUACAGCCAGACAGGAACUGUUUUGCAAAAUGGCACUUGCAACUUUGAAAGAUUAUACACAAAAUAUAUAAAAUAAUGGUGUAUAUUGUGUAGAUGCUCUUUUUAAUGCUCUUUUUACAUUAAGCACUUUUUAUAUUCAUUGGCUUUUGUGUUUGUUGUUUUGUAAGGCACUUGUGGCAACCAUUCUGGAGUCAAAUUGUGUGCGUGAAGCAGAAAUAAUGGUUUAUAUUGUGUAAAUGCUCUUUUUAUAUUAUGCACUUUGCCUAAUAAAGUUGAUUCUGAUUCUGAAAUAA